rnacentral:rRNA from 1 species
GAUGAACGCUGGCGGCGUGCCUAACACAUGCAAGUCGAACGGAGAUAUUGCUUGGAAGCUUUUCGGAGUGAAAGAGAAGUAUCUUAGUGGCGGACGGGUGAGUAACGCGUGGGCAACCUGCCUCAUACAGGGGGAUAGCAUCGGGAAACUGGUGGUAAAACCGCAUAAGCGCACGAAGACGCAUGUAUUUGUGUGAAAAGGAGAAAUCUGGUAUGAGAUGGACCCGCGUCUGAUUAGCUAGUUGGAGUGGUAAAAGCACACCAAGGCGACGAUCAGUAGCCGGCCUGAGAGGGUGGACGGCCACAUUGGGACUGAGACACGGCCCAG